UUGUCCAUGAUAUUCCCUUAACG
rnacentral:miRNA from 1 species